UACAGAGGUGGCAAGCGUUGUUCGGAAUUACUGGGCGUAAAGGGCGAGUAGGUGGCCAUCUAAGUCAGACGUGAAAUCCCCCGGCUUAACCUGGGAACUGCGUCUGAUACUGGACGGCUUGAGUAUGGGAGAGGAAUGUAGAAUUCCAGGUGUAGCGGUGAAAUGCGUAGAUAUCUGGAGGAAUACCGGUGGCGAAGGCGGCAUUCUGGACCAUUACUGACACUGAAUCGCGAAAGCGUGGGGAGCAAACAGG
rnacentral:rRNA from 1 species